ACCACCAUAGCCUACAUUUGGCAUUUCUAAGAAGGUUAUGCUGCCUAUCGCAUAUAUUUCUUACCCUUCCAUUUGGUCCUCUUCCCAAAAUUAUGCUCACAGGAAUGUCUCAAUUCCGACAGCAAUCGUAAACGAAAAUACGAGCCUGCAUCAAUUGUUCGUUUUUCAAACCUUCGAAUUUUACUUUUCAGUAUUCCGUGGCUAGGGCUGACAGCCAAGAACUGAUCAGUUUCUAAUUUUUCAUUUUAAAUUAGAUGAGAGAUUUUAUAAUCCUGUUUACGAAGGGUAGGAUGUCGAGUGAUUUUGUUUCAGUUUAACUGGUACAGAGGAAAGAAACAAGCAUACUUCCGGAGGACAGAGACCCUCUUACCCAAAGUCCAGGAUUUCCAACUGUGCAGGUGUGUUGUUGCCCUUUCUUGAAAUUUAAGCAUGAAACGAAAAGAAAACCGUGCAAGCCCCCAAAGUGAAAUUUGUUACACCACUUUCCAGCAGAUCACUAUAACAAAAUCUUGAAAUUUUCUGAAAUGGCUCCUUUUGGUUGCACUUUUCCCAGGUAUUGCUGUCGACCUACAUCAUUACUAUAAAAGGUGUACACAAUGUAUGAUGCUUUUAAAAGUUAGCCAUCAGGAAGAACAGUUAUUAGACAGCUGCAGAUAUCAAUUACAAGCUGCACCUCUACCUAAUCGACCUUAAUCAAACCGCUGAGAUAUCUAUCAAUUCAGAUAAUAGCGUUUCACAAUUCACGUAAGAUGAUAUUU
rnacentral:lncRNA from 1 species